CCUACGGGAGUCAGCAGUAGGGAAUCUUCCACAAUGGGCGAAAGCCUGAUGGAGCAACGCCGCGUGGGUGAAGAAGGUCUUCGGAUCGUAAAACCCUGUUGUUAGAGAAGAAAGUGCGUGAGAGUAACUGUUAACGUUUCGACGGUAUCUAACCAGAAAGCCACGGCUAACUACGGGCCAGCAGCCGCGGUAAUACGUAGGUGGCAAGCGUUAUCCGGAUUUAUUGGGCGUAAAGGGAACGCAGGCGGUCUUUUAAGUCUGAUGUGAAAGCCUUCGGCUUAACCGGAGUAGUGCAUUGGAAACGGGGAGACUUGAGUGCAGAAGAGGAGAGUGGAACUCCAUGUGUAGCGGUGAAAUGCGUAGAUAUAUGGAAGAACACCAGUGGCGAAAGCGGCUCUCUGGUCUGUAACUGACGCUGAGGUUCGAAAGCGUGGGUAGCAAACAGGAUUAGAUACCCCUGUAGUC
rnacentral:rRNA from 1 species